CCGAAGCCCAAAACACUCGCCGCCUUCAGUGCUCGUUCUCUAGGUCUGCGGCGAGCCUCUUGCUUUCGCACUCCGCUGAAUGGGCUUUUCCGCCUGUACCUUGUUACUCCGGCGGCCGUCGCCCGUCUCCGACGCCGUAGUGGUCGCACUCUAGGUUGCUGAUUUGGGGCUCGCGCAGGUUAUCUGUAGAGUUGGGUGCCGGGUGUGGCUCCACGCCUCACGUCCCAUCUGUCGCUUAGCAUGAGAGCGUGCUGCGAGUUCUCCAGGGGUGGCAAAAAUGGGUGAUUCAGUGGAUCGAUGUCGCACUGGAUUCAGGAGAAUAUGCCCUCGUUUCGAGUCAUUAAAUAGGGUUUCUCCUCAUGACGGUCACAAAUCCCUACUGAAAGAAACAACUGACAUCUAGUUCUCGACUUAGUAUUUGCUUGCAGUGAGCAAAAAAUACCUAACUGCUAAAUUGGUGGUUUAAUAUCCGCUGAUGGAAACAGUUUGGAUCUGUCAAAAUUACCAUGCCAUCAAACAGUGGUUGAAAAUGAUUUAGAGGUCCAUGAUAUGAAAUCAAUGGUCUGAUCUAUAGUUAUUUUUCCCUACUAGUUGGGUUAGCUACAUGGAACGGAUUUCACCAUUGAGCUAAAGUAUAUAGCUAUUUGCAAGACUUCUCUAGAGGCUCUGGAACAUGGAUCUCAAGAUCACUUUAGGAUCUAUCGGUACCUUAUCUCUGACUAUGUUAAUGUGAUAUUUUUACGGAAUUUAAAGAUUUGAAUAUCACGAGUGAUGUGGUCUUGAAAUCAAUCGUUAGAGUAAACUUUUGCUCGCAUUAUUUCUCAUGUAAUCCAAGUGUUUGUACCGUUGCUUGACUGGUUGCUGUUUAUUUCCUACUGAGGCAGGUACGCAACAGUUUUCUGAAAUGAACUAACAGAAUUGCUAUAAACGUUGGAGAGUUGAACUGUUGAACGCCUUUCAGUCACCUGAGUUUCGUUGUUCUUCAUCCUAUUUAAUUGAUUUUUGGUUAAUUUUAAAUUUUAUAUUUGUAAUAAAUAACAAACGCCGUUGGCUGUUAAUUGACAAUAUAAUCACGCUUUAUUCAAGUGAUA